CUUUCUUUCUUCCUUUCUUCUCUUUCCCUGAUGACAGCAGGGGCAGUUCUAUGCUCCCAAGCAAGAUAAGAACAAGAGAGAAUGGGCAAGGGGUCAUCGAUGGACCGGAGAUGGGAUGGUAGGGACAGAAACUGCAGGGUCCGCAGAAGGAACUGCUCACCGAAAGCCAACAAGCUUGCCCUGUGGAAUCCCAGAAAGGCCCAGGAACUUCGGGACAUCACUGAAGGCAGAGUGAAGAGAGGAAGAGAAGACAGAGAAAUGGAGGGGAGAAAACUAUUAAAAUAAGUAAUAAGAAAACUUUCCCCAGAAGUGCAGAAUCUGAAUUUCCAGUAUAAAAGGGUCCAUUGAGCGCCAAGAACAAUGAAGGAAAAAAGGUCCCACUCAGGCCUACGUAUCAUUGUGAAAUUUCAGAACUAGAGGGAUAAAGAAAAGAUCCUAAAAGCUUCCCGAGAGAUAAAAAAGAAGAUUUUUACAAAGGAUCAGCAAUCAGAAUUGCCUCAGACUGCUCAAUAAAAACAUCAGAAGCUAGAAGAAAAUAGAAUGAGGCAUCAAAAUCCUGAGGGAAAUGAUUCCCACCUAUAAUUUCAUAUUCUGCUCAAUUAUCAAUUGAGUAUUGAAGGGAAAUAAAGACAUUUUUA
rnacentral:lncRNA from 10 species